rnacentral:rRNA from 1 species
UACAGAGGGUGCAAGCGUUGUUCGGAAUUACUGGGCGUAAAGCGCGUGUAGGCGGCUUGAUCAGUCAGAUGUGAAAUCCCUCGGCUCAACCGAGGAACUGCAUCUGAUACUGUCAGGCUUGAGUGUCGGAGGGGAUGGCGGAACUCCUGGUGUAGAGGUGAGAUUCGUAGAUAUCAGGAGGAACAUCCGUGGCGAAGGCGGCCAUCUGGAAGACAACUGACGCUGAGACGCGAAAGCGUGGGUGGCAAACAGG